AGACAACAAAGGGAAAUAUAAAGAUUGUGGCGUCCGACACACCCUGGACAUGUGGCAUGGGUCCAAAAGUUUGGGGAAAAGAAUUCAUGCAGCAGGACAGCAAAGGGGGUGCACCAUCCUUCAGAUGUGGAGUAAGGAUAUCUGCAACCACUUCUGGUUUUGCUGCAAGACUGCGGAUACAUAUGAAGACUUUUUUUCAUGCUGGCUGGCCUAGACUACAACCACCACGUUUACAGACCAGCCAAGAGAAGGGCGGAUGGCUCUAUUCAGUAUG